rnacentral:rRNA from 1 species
UACGUAGGGUGCGAGCGUUAAUCGGAAUUACUGGGCGUAAAGCGUGCGCAGGCGGUUUCGUAAGACAGGUGUGAAAUCCCCGGGCUUAACCUGGGAACUGCGCUUGUGACUGCGAGGCUAGAGUACGGCAGAGGGAGGUGGAAUUCCACGUGUAGCAGUGAAAUGCGUAGAGAUGUGGAGGAACACCGAUGGCGAAGGCAACCUCCUGGGCCAGCACUGACGCUCAUGCACGAAAGCGUGGGGAGCAAACAGGAUUAGAUACCCCCGUAGUCC